UAGAGUUUGAUUCCUGGCUCAGAUUGAACGCUGGCGGCAGGCCUAACACAUGCAAGUCGAGCGGAUGAGAGGAGCUUGCUCCUGGAUUCAGCGGCGGACGGGUGAGUAAUGCCUAGGAAUCUGCCUGGUAGUGGGGGACAACGUUUCGAAAGGAACGCUAAUACCGCAUACGUCCUACGGGAGAAAGCAGGGGACCUUCGGGCCUUGCGCUAUCAGAUGAGCCUAGGUCGGAUUAGCUAGUUGGUGAGGUAAUGGCUCACCAAGGCGACGAUCCGUAACUGGUCUGAGAGGAUGAUCAGUCACACUGGAACUGAGACACGGUCCAGACUCCUACGGGAGGCAGCAGUGGGGAAUAUUGGACAAUGGGCGAAAGCCUGAUCCAGCCAUGCCGCGUGUGUGAAGAAGGUCUUCGGAUUGUAAAGCACUUUAAGUUGGGAGGAAGGGCAGUAACUUAAUACGUUGCUGUUUUGACGUUACCGACAGAAUAAGCACCGGCUAACUCUGUGCCAGCAGCCGCGGUAAUACAGAGGGUGCAAGCGUUAAUCGGAAUUACUGGGCGUAAAGCGCGCGUAGGUGGUUUGUUAAGUUGGAUGUGAAAUCCCCGGGCUCAACCUGGGAACUGCAUUCAAAACUGACAAGCUAGAGUAUGGUAGAGGGUGGUGGAAUUUCCUGUGUAGCGGUGAAAUGCGUAGAUAUAGGAAGGAACACCAGUGGCGAAGGCGACCACCGGACGAUACGACACGAGGGCGAAAGCGGAAGUUAUUU
rnacentral:rRNA from 1 species